AAAAAAAAAAAAAAAAAAAAAAAAAAAAAAAACCCGAAAAAAAAAAAAAAAAAAAAAAAAAAAAAAAAAAAAAAAAGAA
rnacentral:lncRNA from 1 species